AACGAACGCUGGCGGCAGGCUUAACACAUGCAAGUCGAACGCCCCGCAAGGGGAGUGGCAGACGGGUGAGUAACGCGUGGGAACGUACCUUUCAGUUCGGAAUAACUCAGGGAAACUUGUGCUAAUACCGGAUACGUCCGUAAGGAGAAAGAUUUAUCGCUGAAAGAUCGGCCCGCGUUGGAUUAGCUAGUUGGUGGGGUAAUGGCCUACCAAGGCGACGAUCCAUAGCUGGUCUGAGAGGAUGAUCAGCCACACUGGGACUGAGACACGGCCCAGACUCCUACGGGAGGCAGCAGUGGGGAAUAUUGGACAAUGGGCGAAAGCCUGAUCCAGCCAUGCCGCGUGAGUGAUGAAGGCCCUAGGGUUGUAAAGCUCUUUCACCGAUGAAGAUAAUGACGGUAGUCGGAGAAGAAGCCCCGGCUAACUUCGUGCCAGCCGCCGCAGUAACAC
rnacentral:rRNA from 1 species